rnacentral:lncRNA from 1 species
CUUUCACCUCAACUCAAAAGUUCAUUUUGGUGUCUUUUAUGGAAAGUGAGAGAAUCCCAUCCAGGUUUUAGCUGUUGUUCGAUGACGAAUCACAUUGCACAACAGCCCCGGGCUGUUGAGAGCCGCUUUCCCCCCUUCCGCUGAUCGAUGGCGUUUUGUCUGUCUGCUCAGCGCGGCCUUGUUCAUCACGCCCUCGCCCCUGUGUCACUUCUUUUGUCGUUUGCUUCUUAAUUAUAAUCCCAGCUGAAGUUGGAUUUCAAACUGUGUCUUUACGAGGCUUCGAGAGGGUCAACUCCGGCACGCGCUUACAAUCAGACCGAUACUCUCUAGGCAUCUCAUGCACGGCACACGACGGCCACAAGAAAGAGCUGAACCUCGUGAGGCUGGCAAAAAGCAACCACGCUGAGGAUGAUUCGUCUAGCGUGUGUAGGAGGAAGCCAUCAAAGCGAAUGCCGUUCACUGUUUGCGAGCGAACCCCCAGUUCCAAGACGUGCCCCCUUCGCGCGCGAUGUGGUGCAGCGAGAAACCUGGUCUUUUUAGGAGGAGAGGGGAAAAGAAGCAUAUCUUCACUUCUGCGAGAUGGAAAGAGAGAUUAGUCCUUCGUGCGUGCUUGACGUGUGCGCUCUCGCGUAAUCAUACGGAAUGAUGCACAGACAGGGAAACGGCGGAUCUUCACUUCGGCAAGGCGCGCCUAACGACCAAAGAACGAAACGGGAAAUCGCAACAAUACGGAAACUUAUACACGGAUAUUUAUACAAAUUUGAGAGGCAUUAAUUGUAAAUGUUAUAUCCGCCCAUUCGUGCGCUUGUAUAUUCAGUCCUCAUCAAUGCACACUGGGAACUACUUCCGUGCUUGCCAACAUGCACAUGGCCUUCUGGCAGAGAACAUACAUGCAUAGGAAUGACUUAAGG